GCACAGCGGAGGGGCCCCACCCGUUCCCAUCCCGAACACGGAAGUUAAGCCCUCCAGCGCCGACAAUACUGCCCGGUUUCUGGUCGGGAAGAUAGGUCGCUGCCG
rnacentral:rRNA from 1 species